rnacentral:rRNA from 1 species
AUUGAACGCUAGCGGGAUGCUUUACACAUGCAAGUCGAACGGCAGCGCGGACUUCGGUCUGGCUGCGAGUGGCGAACGGGGGAGUAAUGUAUCUGAACGUCCCCAGUAGCGGGGGAUAACUACGCGAAAGCGUAGCUAAUACCGCAUACGCCCUACGGGGGAAAGCAGGGGGGCGUAGGACCUUGCACGAGGUUAGCGGCCGAUAUCGGAUUAGCUAGUUGGUGGGUUAAGUGCUCACCAAGGAGACGAUCGGUAGGUGGUUGGAGAGGCAGAGAAGCCACCCUGGGACUGAGCCACGGCCAAGACUCCUGCGGUAGGCAGCAGUGGGGAAUUUUGGACAAUGGGGGCAAACAUGAUACAGCCAUCCCGAGUGUGAGAUGACGGCCUUCGGGUUGUAAAGCACUUUUGGCAGGAAAGAAACGUCUCGGGCUAAGACCACGUGGAACUGACGGUACCUGCAGAAUAAGCACCGGCUAACUACGUG